UUUGAAAUCUGGCGUCUUUCAGGCGUCCGAGUUGUAAUCUAUAGAGGCGUUUUCCGCGCCGGACCGCGUCCAAGUCUCUUGGAAUAGAGUAUCAAAGAGGGUGACAAUCCCGUACUUGACGCGACAACCGGUGCUCUGUGAUACGUUCUCAAUGAGUCGAGUUGUUUGGGAAUGCAGCUCUAAAUGGGUGGUAAAUUCCAUCUAAGGCUAAAUAUUGGCGAGAGACCGAUAGCGAACAAGUACCGUGAGGGAAAGAUGAAAAGCACUUUGGAAAGAGAGUUAAACAGCACGUGAAAUUGUUAAAAGGGAAACGAUUGAAGUCAGUCGUGUGGGAAGUAUUCAGCCGUCUCUGGCGGUGUAUUUGCUUCUCACGGGUCAACAUCAGUUUGAUCCGGUAGAAAAAGGCGGGAAGAAGGUGGCACCCUCGGGUGUGUUAUAGCUUCCUGUCAUAUGUGCCGGACCAGACUGAGGAACGCAGCUUGCAGCAAUGCCGGGGUUCGCCCACGUACAAGCUUAGGAUGUUGACAUAAUGGCUUUA
rnacentral:rRNA from 1 species